UACGUAGGGGGGCAAGCGUUGUCCGGAUUUAUUGGGCGUAAAGAGCGUGUAGGCGGCCAGGUAGGUCUGCUGUGAAAACUCGAGGCUUAACCUCGAGAUGUCGGCGGAAACCAUCUGGCUAGAGUCCGGAAGAGGAGAAUGGAAUUCCCGGUGUAGCGGUGAAAAUGCGCAGAUAUCGGGAAGAACACCCGUGGCGAAGGCGGUUCUCUGGGACGGUACUGACGCUGAGACGCGAAAGCGUGGGGAGCAAACAGG
rnacentral:rRNA from 1 species